UUGCUUCAUCAGCACAUAUACUAAAAUUGGAAUGAUAACAGAGAAGAUAAGCAUGGUCCCUGGGCAACUAUGACAUGCAAAGUCAUGAAGCACUCCCUAAUAAA